UACAGAGGGUGCGAGCGUUAAUCGGAUUUACUGGGCGUAAAGCGUGCGUAGGCGGCUUUUUAAGUCGGAUGUGAAAUCCCUGAGCUUAACUUAGGAAUUGCAUUCGAUACUGGGAAGCUAGAGUAUGGGAGAGGAUGGUAGAAUUCCAGGUGUAGCGGUGAAAUGCGUAGAGAUCUGGAGGAAUACCGAUGGCGAAGGCAGCCAUCUGGCCUAAUACUGACGCUGAGGUACGAAAGCAUGGGGAGCAAACAGGAUUAGAAACCCUAGUAGUCC
rnacentral:rRNA from 1 species